rnacentral:rRNA from 1 species
UACGUAGGCAGCGAGCGUUGUUCGGAUUUACUGGGCGUAAAGGGCGCGUAGGCGGCCACUGCAAGUCAGUUGUGAAAUCUCCGGGCUUAACCCGGAAAGGUCAACUGAUACUGCAGGGCUAGAGUGCAGAAGGGGCAACUGGAAUUCUCGGUGUAGCGGUGAAAUGCGUAGAUAUCGAGAGGAACACCUGCGGCGAAGGCGGGUUGCUGGGCUGACACUGACGCUGAGGCGCGAAAGCCAGGGGAGCGAACGGG